rnacentral:rRNA from 1 species
GACGAACCGUGCGAACGUUGUUCGGAUUCACUGGGCUUAAAGGGCGCGUAGGCGGGCGACCAAGUCAGGGGUGAAAUCUUUCGGCCCAACCGGAAAAGUGCCCCUGAUACUGGCCGCCUCGAGGGGGGUAGGGGCAUGCGGAACUGGUGGUGGAGCGGUGAAAUGCGUAGAUAUCACUAGGAACGCCGGUGGCGAAAGCGGCCGACUGGACCUCUUCUGACGCUGAGGCGCGAAAGCCAGGGGAGCGAACGGG